rnacentral:rRNA from 1 species
AAGUCCAUCCCUUAACGGUGAAUCUGCGCCGGCUACGGGCGGCCUGGAGUGCGGUAGGCGAGACUGGAAUUCCCGUUGUAACGGUGGAAUGUGUAGAAAUCGGGAAGAACACGAAUGGCGAAGGCAGCUCUCUGGGCCGUUACUGACGCUGAGGAGCGAAAGCGUGGGGAGCGAACAGGAUUAGGUACCCUGGUAGUCCACGCCGUAAACGGUGGAUGCUGGAUGUGGGGCCCGUUCCACGGGUUCCGUGUCGGAGCUAACGCGUUAAGCAUCCCGCCUGGGGAGUACGGCCGCAAGGCUAAAACUCAAAGAAAUUGACGGGGGCCCGCACAAGCGGCGGAGCAUGCGGAUUAAUUCGAUGCAACGCGAAGAACCUUACCUGGGCUUGACAUGUUCCCGACCGCUCCAGAGAUGGGGCUUCCCUUCGGGGCGGGUUCACAGGUGGUGCAUGGUCGUCGUCAGCUCGUGUCGUGAGAUGUUGGGUUAAGUCCCGCAACGAGCGCAACCCUCGCCCUGUGUUGCCAGCACGUCAUGGUGGGAACUCACGGGGGACCGCCGGGGUCAACUCGGAGGAAGGUGGGGAUGACGUCAGAUCAUCAUGCCCCUUACGUCCAGGGCUUCACGCAUGCUACAAUGGCCGGUACAACGGGAUGCGACACGGCGACGUGGAGCGGAUCCCUGAAAACCGGUCUCAGUUCGGAUUGGAGUCUGCAACCCGACUCCAUGAAGGCGGAGUCGCUAGUAAUCGCGGAUCAGCAACGCCGCG